rnacentral:lncRNA from 13 species
CAAAUACUUACUUUCCACCAUAAUUUGCAAAUAAAUUAAUAAAAAAUCCUACAAUGUGAUUUUCUGGAAUUUUUUUCUCAUUUUGUCUGUCAUAGUUGAAGUGGACCUAUGAUGAAAAUUACAGGCCUCUCUCAUCUUUUUAAGUCGGAGAACAGGCACAAUUGGUGGCUGACUAAAUACUUUUUUGCCCCACUGUAUGUCUUUGUGUAAGGGAGGUUGCGUGGUGUGGGUCAAUAUCUCAAUGAAAACAUUUCCUAUUUCUCAUGCAAAACUAAGUCCAGUCCCCUCCCUCUCUAAAAGACAACAGGCUUUUCAUCUCUGUAACUGAAUUAAAUCAAUCAGAUAAUAGUGAUCAUUCAAUGAUUGACAGCCCAGGGUCAUGGGUCACAAAGAGGAUGCAAAUAGUAAUUUGAUCACAUGGAUUAAUCAAAUAACUGUGAUCAAAAAAAGAAACAGUGUGACGGUCCUGAUAGACUUGGCGUGUGACGGUCUAGUCCUGAUAGACUUGGCGUGUGACGGUCUAGUCCUGAUAGACUUGGCGUGUGACGGUCUAGUCCUGAUGGACUUGGCGUGUGACGGUCUAGUCCUGAUGGACUUGGCGUGUGACAGUCUAGUCCUGAUGGACUUGGCGUGUGACGGUCUAGUCCUGAUGGACUUGGCGUGUUACGGUCUAGUCCUGAUGGACUUGGCGUGUGACUGUGAAGUAGACCUGAGCCUAACAGUAUGAUGAUAUGUGCAGCUGUAUUAAUCGACCUGGCCAAGGCUUUCGACUUUCUUAUCGGCAGACUCAAAAGCCUUGGUUUCUCAAAUGAUUGCCUUGCCUGGUUCACCAACUACUUCUCUGAUAGAGUUCAGUGUGUCAAAUCGGAGGGCCUGUUGUCCGGACCUCUAGCAGUCUCUAUGGGGGUGCCACAUGGUUCAAUUCUCGGGCCGACUCUUUUCUCUGUAUACAUCAAUGAUAUCGCUCUUGCUGCGGGUGAUUAUUUUAUCCAACUCUACGCAGACGACACCAUUCUGUAUACAUCUGGCCCUUCUUUGGACACUGUGUUAACUAACUUCUAAACAAGCUUCAAUGCCAUACAACUCUCCUUCCGCCUCCAACUGCUCUUAAAUGCAAGUAAAACUAAAUGCAUGCUCUUCAACUGAUUGCUGCCCGCACCUGCCCGCCCGUCCAGCAUCACUACUCUGGAUGGUUCUGACUUAGAAUAUGUGGACAACUACAAAUACCUAGGUGUCUGGCUAGACUGUAAACUCUCCUUCCAGACUCACAUUAAUUAUCUCCAAUCCAAAAUUAAAUCUAGAAUAGGCUUCCUAUUUUGCAACAUAGCAUCCUUCACUCAUGCUGCCAAACAUACCCUCGUAAAACUGACUAUCCAACCGAUCCUUGACUUCGGCGAUGUCAUCUAUAAAGUAGACUCCAACACUCUACUCAACAAAUUGGAUGCAGUCUAUCACAGUGCCAUCCGUUAUGUCACCAAAUCCCCAUGUACUACCCACCACUGCGACCUGUAUGCUCUCGUUGGCUGGCCCUCGCUUCAUAAUCGUCGCCAAACCCACUGGCUCCAGGUCAUCUAUAAGUCUUUGCUAGGUAAAGCCCUGCCUUAUCUCAGCUCACUGGUUACCAUAGCAGCACCCAACCGUAGCAUGCACUCCAGCAUGUAUAUCUCACUUGUCACCUCCAAAGCCAAUUACUCCUUUGGCCGCCUUUCCUUCCAGUUCUCUGGUGCCAAUGACUGGAACAAAUUGCAAAAAUCACUGAAGCUGGAGACUCAUUUCUCCUUCACUAACUUUAAGCACCAGCUGUCAGAGUAGCCCACAGAUCACUGCACCUGUACAUAGCUCAUCUGUAAACAGCCCAAUCCAACUACCUCAUCCCCACUGUUAUUUAUUUGUGUUCUUUUGUACCCUAGUAUCUCUACUUGCACAUUCACCAUCUGCACAUCUAUCACUCCAGUGUUCAAUUGCUAAAUUGUAAUUAUUUCGCCACUAUGGCCUAUUUAUUGCCUUACCUCUCUUAUCCUACCUCAUUUGCACACACUGUAUAUAGACUUUUCUAUUGUAUUAUUGACUGUACGUUUGUUUAUUCCAUGUGUAACUCUGUGUUGUUGUCUGUGUCACACGGCUUUGCUUUAUCUUGGCCAGGUCGCAGUUGUAAAUGAGAACUUGUUCUCAACUGGCCUACCUGGUUAAAUAAAGGUGAUUUAAAAAAAAAAAAAAAAAAUGUUCCUUUCUGUACCGUGGAUGAUGUCAGGGUAAUAUGAGGACAUUACCUUUCUGUACCGUGGAUGAUGACAGGGUAAUAUGAGGACAUUACCUUUCUGUACCGUGGAUGAUGCCAGGGUAGUAUGAUGACAUUACCUAUUCUGUACCGUGGAUGAUGUCAGGGUAGUAUGAG